GACGCCCGCCGCGCUCCUCCAAGUCCUCCUCCUUGGCUUCAGGAAGCCUUGGCACUUCCACCGAAGAAGACAUGCUGGCACCAAGGUGGCACAGGCGGGGGGAUGGGCCUUCCCGGGACUUCCCUCCUCCACCGGGCAAAGGAAGGUGUUUCCAAUUUUCCAGUGUCCUGAAAUUUCCUAUAGUUUGCUUUCUCCAUUGUAGGGAUGACAUAUCUCUCAGUGAUGCCACCUGCUCUGGCAGCCUAUGGUUCGAGCGGCAGGGGAGGGACAUCUUCUCUUCUUCGAGCUGAGGAAUCCCCUCUCUUCUUAUAUCAUAGUUGUAUACAAGUGUGUCUGUGUAUAUGUUCAAGAGCAAGCAAACUAUUAGGAUCUAUACUAUUAUUUUCAAUCUGUAUUGCAUCUUAUUCUGAAAAGAUGAAGAAAAUCACAUAAAUGUAACUGCAGCUUCGUUAGGCUAGAAAAGGUUGGAACAUGAGUCAGUCAGGUAAAGACUAUGGGUAGGUCUACACUGACCAGAAUACUCCAGUAGUGGUCUGGAGCAUUCUGGUCCUGAACCUGCCUGAAUCUCCUCUGUUACCUGGGCACUGCAGAGUGUCAUCAGGUAGCUGUUUACACAGCAUCCCACUGUGCCACCUGCUGCCAAUGCCACCAGUGUGAGUUGCUUUCUCUGAAGCCUGGCUAGGUGCCUCAUUGUGCCCUCAGAGCAGUGAUUUGUGGUGCCUGUUGUGCAUCAGGACGCACAGCAGGACAUUGUGUAAACAGCUGCCCAGCAUCAGUCCAGAAGGCUCCAGUUUUUCAGGUAAGAUCUGGAGUGUACGGUGAGGUUAUUAGAACAUAGUUUUAGGGAAGAAUGACCCAGAUUUGCUGCUGGACUGGCCUUCCUACAUGAAGACAGUCUACAAUCAAACCAAGCCUUUGGCCUUGUGUCAUGUAGACAUGGUGACGCAGGUCGGGGGGAGGGGGGACUGAGCCAUUUGGCCCAUGUUGAUAUGCUCUGUUUCUCAAAGGCACAUUUGGUGAGGGCACAAGAGAGGAAGUGAUGUCAUUGGGGAGAUGCCAGAGGUGCAGAAGAGGGGUGACACCCAGUUAGGUGACACUCAGAGGAGGGGCAAAUGCACAUCCUUCCUGGUAUCUCCAUCCCUGUCCCCAGGCUUCCUCCCAGGAGAGAAAGCCUGGGGAUAGGUGAGAUGGGUGAGUAGGAGGGGCACACCCAUGCCCUUGCCAGCUGCAGUGUCCCCAGGCUUUUUGCCAGGGGAGAAAGCCCAGGGAUCAGGGAGCAGGAGGAGCAUAUGCACACCCUUUCCAGCUGCUCUGUCCCUGCCUCCCACAGGAGAAUGCCCAGGAAUGGGAAACAGUAGGGGCGCAUGUGGACCCUUCCCACACCAGGUGGCACCAUAGUUAGUGAUGCCACUGAAGAGAGGUCCCUCUUGGACCUCUUGGUGGCCAUUCCUAAACUAUAGAAAUCCCUCCUAUAGGAGGCCGGGGUGGGCCCUUCUCUGCUCUCUUUCCACAUGCAGGCAAAGAUUUUUCUGGCCUUUUACUGGUUGUUAUGGUUGUUGCUUUUAAUACUUUUGUUUUUUCCUCAUGUGCUUUGAAACUCCUCUAAAUGUUGUACUAUUAUUUAAUAUGAUAGCCUAUUUCAUUGUUUUAAGUUUUUUAACUAUCAUGAUUGAUUUUAGCUGUACUCUGGUUUUAAACUGGGGGAAAGGCAGGCCAUAAAUAAAAUAAACAAAUAACAGUAAAGAAUAAUAGAUUGUUCAGAGUCCUGUCUUUAAGUCUUGAGCCUCUAAACCGUAGAGGAGCAUAUCACUAUUGUAGAUGCAACAACCAAGUGAAACCUGCACUCAGGUUAAGAGAUCUUUAAAUCAAGGCCCAAUGAAUA